AUGCAAAUAAAAGGAAACGGUAGUGACAGCGGUGGCCUCUGCUCCUGGGGGACAGGGACGGGGGGGGUGCUGCUGCGGGACACCUUGCACCCUGCUCCGGGCGUCCGGCUCCCGCCUGGGGCAGGGGUUUCUCCCGGCCCCUCGCCCCGGUGGAGCGGGGCUGCCCGCGGAGGGAGGAAGCGGCCGCGCUCCCGCUGGCCGGAUCUGGCUCGGCGCCGCGUCCCCGCAGCCAGGCCGGGCUGUGCCAGGAGGCCUUUCUGCCCCCCGCGGCCCGCUUUGGCCGAGCGGGGGGACGGUGACGGCAGGGCAGAACUGGCUGUCCCCGCUGCCGCCGGCGCGGGGCCAGCGUCUCCCAGCAGGGAGGGGAGCGCGGUGCGGAGCCCUGGGGGCUGCCCUGGCCGGGGCUUUGCGGGGGCUGCGCGGGGCCGGUGCUGCGUUUGGCCCCUCCGAGUUUUCCGCUGCUGCCGGCGGUGGAGCCGCGGGGCCGGGGCUGGCGGGAGCGGGCGAGCGCUGCGUUGCGCCGCGGCCGGGGCACAAUGCGGGUCUGUGCGCGAGCCAGCGGCCGGCACGAUGCCCCGCCGCGGGGGACACUGCGCUAUUGUUCGGGGACGGGCAGAACAACAGCAGCUGCGGCCGGCGGGCCGGGCUCUUCCCCGGCUGAGCUCACCGGGCCGGGCUCUUCCCGGGACCCUUUUCUGCGGCGGCCACCCCCCGUCCCCGUGCUGCGRUCCCAGAAAAACACCGCGGCGCGUGCUUGUACCCUGCGUCCCUGCGGCACUCRUCUCCUCCUGUCCCUUGGUGAUGCUCUAUGCCGUGGCAUCCCCAGGGCCWCCUUGCUCCCCGGCCCCUCUCUGGGAGCAGCGCGAGGCCCCGGGACUGCUGGCGAAGCGGCACGGCACGGGAUGCCCUCAGCCGUCACGCGGCAAUCCCGAUCUUUGUGACGCCUGUCGGCUCCAGCCUCCUGCUCGGCAGCACCGGCGUGCCGCGAGCCGACGGGGCAGAAAGCGCGGCGGGGCUGGCUCGCCGUGGCAUGACGGAGGAGCGGGGAGCCGGCCACGCUGGGGCGAUGGGGUCCCUGGAUUAGCUGGGAAUCGCGCCGGAGCUGCUGCAAUCCUUGCUGGAUUUCCCAGCCAGCGUCCGUGCAACUGCCGGGGCCGCUGGUGCUGCCGGAGCGGGGAGUCAGCUCCAUUGCAGCCAGAGGCACCCCAAAACCCCUGCUUCGUGCAGCGCUGGAUAGAUAUCGCCGGGUUUUGCCCCAAUACGCAAAGCGGCGUGUGUCUGGGUGUGCACGACGGUGAGGCCGGUGCACAGGUUUAUCGCUAG
rnacentral:lncRNA from 1 species